GACGAACGCUGGCGGCGUGCUUAACACAUGCAAGUCGAACGGAAAGGCCCUGCUUUUGUGGGGUGCUCGAGUGGCGAACGGGUGAGUAACACGUGAGUAACCUGCCCUUGACUUUGGGAUAACUUCAGGAAACUGGGGCUAAUACCGGAUAGGAGCUCCUGCUGCAUGGUGGGGGUUGGAACGUUUCGGCGGUUGGGGAUGGACUCGCGGCUUAUCAGCUUGUUGGUGGGGUAGUGGCUUACCAAGGCUUUGACGGGUAGCCGGCCUGGGAGGGUGAACGGGCACAAGAGGACUGAGGUACGGCCCAGGCUCCUACGGGGGGCAACAGGGGGGAAUAUUGCACAAUGGGCGGAAGCCUGAUGCAGCAACGCCGCGUGCGGGAUGACGGCCUUCGGGUUGUAAACCGCUUUCGCCUGUGACGAAGCGUGAGUGACGGUAAUGGGUAAAGAAGCACCGGCUAACUACGUG
rnacentral:rRNA from 1 species